rnacentral:lncRNA from 1 species
AAAUUUUGGGGAGUUUUCAUUUCCAUUUUAUUUUCAUCAUCCAUAACCCAACCUUUAAUUUUCUUUUAUGUGAAAGAUCACCCUUUGUUCCACCGUUUUCACUCUCAACCUCAUUAUUUACUCAAAUCUAAUCUAUUUAAAAGGUUUCCAGCCAAAAUAAAAAAAGAGAAGAUAGAAGAAUCACCACCGCUGCCGGCGGCACACAACUUCACCAUAGAUGAAAGUGAGACGAUGAAGAGAAAGCAUGACUAACGGAUCUGUAAGUGAGAUGAUGAAGAGAAAUAGAGAGACACAAAGUGAGAAGAUGAAACAGAGAGACAUCAUAAAACAAUCUUCAAUUUCUAUCAAACAAUCUUCCAUCUCCAAUGACAAUCUUCAAUUCAAUCAACCCAUAUUCCAUGUUUGAAACCUAAAAUUGGAAUCAAUAAUAGCAUAACCAAGAACAAUAGAAUAGGGAUAGACGGCGGGAGAUGAACGACGGCGGCGAGAAGUCAAAGAGAUCGAUGGUGAAGAAACAGAAACGGGUGGUUUGUUAGUUCAC